rnacentral:lncRNA from 1 species
UUAGAGCCACCAUGACCUUGUAGUUUGAACCGUAGAUCCUUUGAUUAGGACUCCCUCCCUACACGUGGGUGCAUCUGAGGGCUUUCAGAGCCUCUGUGGUUACAAUUCGGAUCCAGUAUUCCCUCUUUUUAGUCUCCAGUUGAGAGUGCUCGGAGAUCAGUAUGAGUUUGAGUAUCGGUUGGAUCACUUUUCGUCUUGUCGCCUUAGUUUAUGCUUUUCACUCAACGAGUUUAGCAUGUUUUCUCCCUAGG